GUCCACAUAAUUUAAUUAAAAUCCUAAAUUGUGAGCUUAGAAAUGAAAAUUAACAAUUUUCUGUGGGCC
rnacentral:tRNA from 1 species